GUUCCUUUAUUCCUUUUCAACUUCGUAGUCUUUUUAGCCUUUUUUUCUUAUUUUUUUAUUUUAGCGUCUCUGAUGAGUCCUUCGUAGACGAAACGUGCAUGUGCAUAUACUUCAAAGACUGUUUACGCCUUCGCUCUGAUUUUGAAGGAGGUUGUUGCUAACAAGAACCAAGUGAACCGAGGCUUCCCAAAGAUUUUGAUUUAAAAGUCCGGAAAUCGCAAUUUAAUUUCUACUUACCUAAUACAAAAUGUGUCUGACAAAGGACCGACUUAUU
rnacentral:lncRNA from 1 species